GGCCUAUUCAGCAUUUCCCUGUGUCUCUAUAACUCUACUUGUAAUACUUGUCCAGAGAGACCCACACUCAUCUCAUACCCUAUAACAAACACCUGAGCAAAGCCAUACCAUUUUGCAGCAGUCUCCAGAGAGUGUGUUUUUGAAACUUUCCUGGGAGCAUCAAUGGCAGUGUUGGUGUUGGCUGUUGGGAUGUUUUUGGGAUUGUGUAUCUGCUUUGCUUUGUUCUUGAAAUGGAAUGAGAUAAGGUAUACGAGGAAAGGCUUGCCUCCAGGGACAAUGGGAUGGCCAGUUUUUGGAGAGACCACAGAAUUCCUCAGAUAUGGACCUGAUUUCAUGAAAAACCAGAGAGCAAGG
rnacentral:misc_RNA from 1 species